rnacentral:lncRNA from 1 species
AUGCAUAUUUACAUUAGACAAAAUGUUUUCUAAACAUGCCUAAAAAAUCUGGGCUAAAAUAAUCGAUUAUGUACUUAUGAUAAUCGAUUGCUUCUAAGUCCAGACUGCAUGACAAUUGAUUAUGAAUUAAUGGUAAUCGAUUGUGAGUAAGACAGUGAACAGGUUUUUCCAAUUCUGCAUGAUAAUCGAUUGUGAACAAAUGACAAUCGAUUGUUGUUGAGGUAAAGUUUUUCAAUACUCAAAAUAAUCGAUUAUGAACUAAUGGUGAUCGNNN